CAGACAAGUCAGCACGCUGCAGAGGAUUUGUGGAACCAGGAGGUGAGGUCUGAACCGCGGCUUCUCAUUGGUUCAUCACGAAUGAAUAACAAAGCAGCUCCGGAUGCUGCUGCUGUUGUGGACAGACUUCAGUCUCAGAGUUCCACAUGGAUGCAAUGAUGUUCACCAAACUAUCAAGUCCAGAAAGGUAUCCAUCCUCUCUGUUGCCCUCGACCCAUGAUGCUCGGUGGGUUAGUUCGUCC